GGCUUCCUCCAUCAACCUCCUCCUCCACGGCAGCAAGGCACACCACCCCCAACGAACACCCCCAUCCAGCCCAGACCCAACCCAUUCAUCAACCAACCCCCAAGGAGGCCUCCACACUCCAAACUAUCCUCUUCACAGUGACUGUGUACCAGGCACUCUUUUACAUUUCUGCCUCUGCGAUAGGUCACACUAGGACCCACGG